CCUACGUGAGGCAGCAGUAGGGAAUAUUGCUCAAUGGGGGAAACCCUGAAGCAGCAACGCCGCGUGGAGGAUGAAGGUUUUCGGAGUGUACACUCCUUUUGUUAAAGAAGAAAAUGACGGUAUGUAACGAAUAAUCACCGGCUAACUCCGUUCCAGCAGCCGCGGUAAUACGGAGGGUGCAAGCGUUAUUCGGAAUCACUGGGCGUAAAGAGAGCGUAGACGGUAUAGCAAGUCAGAUGUGAAAUUCUAUGGCUUAACCAUAGAAUUGCAUUUGAAACUGGUAUUCUAGAGUAUAGGAGAGGUAGGUGGAAUUCGUGGUGUAGGGGUUAAAUCCGUAGAGAUCAAGAGGAAUACUCAUUGCGAAGGCGACCUGCUAGACUGUCACUGACGCUGAUGCGCGAAAGUGUGGGGAGCAAACAGGAGUAGAUACCCGGGUAGUC
rnacentral:rRNA from 1 species